rnacentral:rRNA from 1 species
GUCUGCAACUCGACUACAUGAAGCUGGAAUCGCUAGUAAUCGCGGAUCAGAAUGUUGCGGUGAAUACGUUCCCGGGUCUUGUACACACCGCCCGUCACACCAUGGGAGUCGGAAAUGCCCGAAGUCUGUGACCCAACGAAAGAGGGAGCAGCCGAAGGCAGGUCUGAUAACUGGGGUGAAGUCGUAACAAGGUAAC